GGCCUGAGAGGGUGACCGGCCACACUGGGACUGAGACACGGCCCAGACUCCUACGGGAGGCAGCAGUGGGGAAUAUUGCACAAUGGGCGCAAGCCUGAUGCAGCAACGCCGCGUGAGGGAUGACGGCCUUCGGGUUGUAAACCUCUUUUAGCAGGGAAGAAGCGAAAGUGACGGUACCUGCAGAAAAAGCGCCGGCUAACUACGUGCCAGCAGCCGCGGUAAUACGUAGGGCGCAAGCGUUAUCCGGAAUUAUUGGGCGUAAAGAGCUCGUAGGCGGUUUGUCGCGUCUGCUGUGAAAUCCGGAGGCUCAACCUCCGGCCUGCAGUGGGUACGGGCAGACUAGAGUGCGGUAGGGGAGAUUGGAAUUCCUGGUGUAGCGGUGGAAUGCGCAGAUAUCAGGAGGAACACCGAUGGCGAAGGCAGAUCUCUGGGCCGUAACUGACGCUGAGGAGCGAAAGGGUGGGGAGCAAACAGGCUUAGAUACCCUGGUAGUCCACCCCGUAAACGUUGGGAACUAGUUGUGGGGUCCAUUCCACGGAUUCCGUGACGCAGCUAACGCAUUAAGUUCCCCGCCUGGGGAGUACGG
rnacentral:rRNA from 1 species